rnacentral:lncRNA from 1 species
AUGGCGUGGAGGGUCGCCAGGGGCCAGUGGGCAUGGCUACCCAGGAGCAGUGGGUUUAACUGGGAGACCUGGUCAUUUUGGAGAAAGGGUAAGAAAAUACCCCAUACAGUUCUACCACAUGUUAGUGUUAGUAUAGUUGUUGAUUUCAUUGAAUGCCGUCUGUCUGUCUGUCUGUCUGUCUGUCUGUCUGUCUGUCUGUCUGUCUGUCUGUCUGUCUGUCUGUCAUCAGGGAGAACCUGGUGUGAGAGGCCCCACUGGUAUCCCUGGGAAGAGUGGACCACCAGGGUUAAAGGGAUCUCAUGGAGAGAGAGGGCCCGCUGGACCACAGGUAAGGAAGCUCACUCUUUAAGACCAUUUUAAUCAUACAGACUAGCUUUAGACACACUGGAUGAGGCUUCCCCCUGGGGUUACAGCCUGACUCUGCCGUGAUGUUUUUCUGGUUUAUCCACCUCAGGGUCGUCAAGGAGACACUGGACUCAAUGGCAUACAGGGGUCACCAGUGAGUAGCACUUUUAAAUCAUGACCUUGUCCUCUUGUGUGGUUAGAUGGCACUUUGAUGAUUUGG